CUACGGGAGGCAGCAGUGGGGAAUAUUGGACAAUGGGCGCAAGCCUGAUCCAGCAAUGCCGCGUGAGUGAUGAAGGCCUUAGGGUCGUAAAGCUCUUUUACCAGGGAUGAUAAUGACAGUACCUGGAGAAUAAGCUCCGGCUAACUCCGUGCCAGCAGCCGCGGUAAUACGGAGGGAGCUAGCGUUGUUCGGAAUUACUGGGCGUAAAGCGUACGUAGGCGGUUAUUCAAGUCAGAGGUGAAAGCCCGGGGCUCAACCCCGGAACGGCCUUUGAAACUAGGUAGCUAGAAUCUUGGAGAGGUCAGUGGAAUUCCGAGUGUAGAGGUGAAAUUCGUAGAUAUUCGGAAGAACACCAGUGGCGAAGGCGACUGACUGGACAAGUAUUGACGCUGAGGUACGAAAGCGUGGGGGGCAAACAGGAUUAGAUACCCUGGUAGUCCACGCCGUAAACGAUGAUAACUAGCUGUCCGGGCACUUGGUGCCUGGGUGGCGCAGCUACGCAUUAGUUAUCCGUCCGUCGGGAGGUACGGUCGCGAGAGUAAACGUACGAAAGAAGUUAGACGGCGUGUAGACGUUGCGAACGGACGACGACGAGGGAGGAGG
rnacentral:rRNA from 1 species